rnacentral:tRNA from 1 species
GCCUGGGUGGCUCAGUCGGUUGAGCGUCCGACUUCAGCUCAGGUCACAAUCUUGCGGUCUGUGAGUUCGAGCCCCGCAUCGGGCU